AAUCAACAGAAUGAGAGAGAGGGAAUUGGUGUUUGUUUUGGAAAGAAGAAGGAGGAGGAGAAAAGACUCUGGCUGGUCUUGGAGGAGGGGGUCCUUCUCCUUUCUUUCCCAUCAUUUCUUUUUGAUUUGUCCCUUUUUUUGUUUCCUCUUUUGUUUUUGAAAAGAGAGAGGUGGGAGAGAAAGGGCGGUUGAGACCAAGAGGGGAAGUAACAAGAUUUCUCUUUUCUUGUUGUUGUUGUUGUGAUU
rnacentral:ribozyme from 13 species